AGGGUUCUGAUAUCCCCCUAUAAAUAGGAAGGCGCCUAAGAUAAUCGUUCCAGUUUAUGCUCUUCAUCGACAAACGUGAGAGGCUGAAGGAUCGACCGUCCGCCAUUGUUCUUCUGAGGCAAAGCUUGUUCGCCAUCGACAAUGAGAGCUAAGUGGAAGAAGAAGCGUAUGAGGAGGCUCAAGAGAAAGCGCAGAAAGAUGAGACAGAGGUCUAAGUAGUUGCAGUUAUCAGGAAACUGAUCAAGCUUUCCCCUGGAGUGCCUAAUAUCUCCUUUGCUCUCUUGCAUUGUUUGCUUGAAGUUGUGGAGGUUAUAGUUAUUCUUAUGGAGAUAGUUUUGCCCCAUUUCCUAUGGUUUUUAUUACUUAGGACCAAUGCUCUGACUUGUUUUUGGCUUAAGAUUUGUCGUAACUUAUAUUGUGCUUCUUAUACGUUUUCUAAUGCCUUCUCCGAACUCACUUCAGCAAUUUAAUAGUCAGUUUAUUCAGACUUGAAGAAUAUCA